rnacentral:rRNA from 1 species
UACAGAGGUCCCAAGCGUUGUUCGGAUUCACUGGGCGUAAAGGGUGCGUAGGUGGUGGACUAAGUCGGGUGUGAAAUCUCCGGGCUCAACCCGGAGGGUGCGCCCGAAACUGGUCUGCUCGAGGAUGGGAGGGGAGACUGGAAUUCUCGGUGUAGCAGUGAAAUGCGUAGAUAUCGAGAGGAACACCAGUGGCGAAGGCGAGUCUCUGGACCAUUCCUGACACUGAGGCACGAAAGCCGGGGGAGCAAACAGG